UGGGGAAUAUUGCACAAUGGGGGAAACCCUGAUGCAGCGACGCCGCGUGAGCGAAGAAGUAUUUCGGUAUGUAAAGCUCUAUCAGCAGGGGAAAAAGGAAGGAAAGAGGAAAUGCUUUUCUUUGGAUGGUACCCGGCCAGAAAGUCACGGCUAACUACGUGCC
rnacentral:rRNA from 1 species